rnacentral:lncRNA from 1 species
UAUUUGUCCAGAAUAUAUAGUGUACAGUAAGAGCUAAGCAGUAAGCAGAUGAAAAUUAGAAUAUCUUGUGAUGUUGAUAGCAGUAAGUGGGGCAAGCGAGACCAGAUUUAAUAGUAAAUUACCUUCAUGUUUAAGAUGUUGGUAGCAAGCUAGGAAAAUAACUGAUAAGGGAUGUGAACAUCCUGUGAGACAAACAUGCGACAAAAAUUGAAGUGUCCAGUCAUAUGAUGAACUAAAGAUUAGUGGCAUGCUCAUCUUCUUCCACUUCGUAGAUUUAUCCUUUUGAACCAAACGACUCAUCUUGCAUUAUUGCUUCUUGUAUCCCCUCUGUAGAAAAAUAUGGAUGAUGAGAAGGAAAAAAAUUAAGAAGGAAAACACAGAUAAGGCUAAGUGCCAUGUAUGGAAAUCUUCAGAGGACAAAAUACUGCUCAAUAUAUUCAAAGAUCAAAGUCUACAUGGAGGAAAAGAAGGAACGGGUUACACAAAGAAAGCAUGGCGUGAUAUCUUAGAACUAUUCAAUGAUUCAAGGGUAGAAAAACUUGAAUUACAACAAUUGAAAAAUCAUCAUAAGUAUUACAGGAGUUGCUACACCACCAUGGAUAGGCUUCUAAAACUCACGAGAUUUGGUUGGGAUGACGAUGACAAAAUGAUAAAAGCUUCAGAAGAUAUUUGGGAAGAACUAAUUAAGGUAAGUUUGUUGUAGUAGAAUUCAUAUAAAGUUGCAUAAUCCUAUUAUUAACCAAAACAUUAAACAACUUGCAGAAGGAUAAGGCUAUCCAAGAAUAUUGAGAUAAGGUGUGGCCUAGUUGGAUAGAUCUUCAAGCCAUAUGUGCUAGUUCAAUAGCAUCUGGAGCUGGUGCUGUAUCUAGCAAAGGAAAAGAUGGUACAUGUAUGACCAAAUCUUCACAAAUUGAUCUCAAUACGGAAGUUGAAGUACAUGACAUCGAUUCUGAUGAAAUCAAUGCUUCCCUUGGUGUAUUCACCAAGAAGUCACCUACCAUUGAGCCAGAAAAAAAAGAAGUCCCUUGGAAGUGGAUCCAAGGAAACUACAAGAGGACAAAAACGGACAGCCGAUGAUGCCAUAAUAGCAACUGAUCGCCUUGCAGAUGCAUCACUUAGCAUUGCUGAAGCAAAGAAAACAGUAGCUAAACAAAAUGAAGCUUACUCGGUUAAAUCUUGUAUGGCAAUAUUAAAUAGUAUGAGUAAUCUAGAUCCCAAAG